GCUUCCAGUUUGGUGGUGGAAAACUACUCGGCUCAUCUGGGUUACUUGUUUGUCUCUUGUAUUCAUAAAUAUGCUGGACUAUUAGGAGCAAUUUGGAUAUUCCCAUGAACAUAUGUGAUUAAGCAUCUUGUCAAGAUUAGCUCUUGGGCUGGAGAAAUGGCUCAGAGGUUAAGAGCACUGACUACUCUUCCAGAGGUCCUAAGUUCAAUUCUCAGCAACCACAUGGUGGCUUACAACCAUCUGUAAUGAGAC